CUCUCAUCGAGAUGCACCCAGAACCUAUAGGAUGAAGUGCGCAGGGACCAACAGGCAGCCUUUCCAGCCGGAGCAGCUGAUCACCAGGAAGGAAGACGCAGCCAAUAAUUACACCAGAGGCCAUUGCACCAUCGGCAAGGAGAUCGUCGACCUGGUCCUGGACUGGAUCUGCAAACUGGUGAUCUGUGCGCGGGGCUGCAGGGCUUCCUCAUCUUCCACAGCUCUGGCAGUGGCCCCGGCUCUGAGUUUGCAUCUCUGCUCACGGAGCGCCUCUCGGUGGACUAUGGCAAGAAGUCCAGCUCGAACUUGCCAUUUCCCCAGCCCCCCAGGUUUCCAUGGCCAUGGUGGAGCCCUCCAACUCCAUCCUGACCACCCACAUGACCCUGGAACAUGCUGAUUGUGCCUUCCUGGUGGACACUGAAGCCAUCUAUGACAUAUGUCAUCACAACCUGGAUAUCGAGCUGCCCACGUGCACCAACCUCAGUCGUCUCAUUGGGCAGACCGUGUCCUUGAU
rnacentral:lncRNA from 1 species